AUGCAUGCUUUUACAGUAUGAAAAUUGGUGAUUUAUAAUAACUUAGCAAAUCGCAAAGUGAAAACAGGCGAUAAAUCAUUCAAGUUUCUGACCUAUCAGCUUUCGACGGUAUGGUAUUGGCUUACCGUGGCAGUGACGGUUAACGGGGGAUUAGGGUUCGAUUCCGGAGAGGGAGCCUGAGAAACGGCUACCACAUCUAAGGAAGGCAGCAGGCGCGCAAAUUACCCAAUUCUAACAGUUUGAGAGAGGUAGUAACAAGAAAUAACAAUACAAGGCAGUUAAAAUGCUUUGUAAUUGGAAUGAUAGAAAUUUAAACCCUUUUUAAAGUAUCAAUUGGAGGGCAAGUCUGGUGCCAGCAGCCGCGGUAAUUCCAGCUCCAAUAGCGUAUAUUAAAAUUGUUGCAGUUAAAAAGCUCGUAGUUGAAGUUCUGCUAAAAGUAACCGGUCUGCUUUGAAUAAAAGUGGUAUCUUGGUAUGUAUUUAGCAAUGAUGUCCUUUGAAGUGUUUUUUACUUUAUUGUAAUAAAGCAUAUUCAGGACUUUUACUUUGAGAAAAUUAGAGUGUUUCUAGCAGGCCAACGCUUUGAAUACUGCAGCAUGGAAAUAAUAAG
rnacentral:rRNA from 1 species